rnacentral:misc_RNA from 1 species
GCUUCUCCUUAUUCCCCGCUCACCAUAUUUCUCUCUCCCCCAAUUCCAUCUCUCAAAUGCUUCGUCGAUCGCUCGGGUGACGCUCCAAUGGGAUCAAUCUGGGGCGGCGGCGGCGGCAAGCCUGAGGUGGCGGACAUCUUGAUCGCCAUGUACUUCGCCGGUGGAUUUGUCGUUGUUAGGUUCUUGCUCGACUUCUUCAUCUUCAAGCCAUU